rnacentral:rRNA from 1 species
ACGCUCGACACCUACGAGGCACCAGUGGGGAAUAUUGCACAAUGGGGGAAACCCUGAUGCAGCAACGCCGCGUGAAGGAAGACGGUUUUCGGAUUGUAAACUUCUGUUCUUAGUGAAGAUAGUGACGGUAGCUAAGGAGCAAGCCACGGCUAACUACGUGCCAGCAGCCGCGGUAAUCUGAGCGGGCUGGCAAGGC